rnacentral:pre_miRNA from 2 species
UUUGAGGGGAAUGUUGUCUGGCUCGAGGUCACUUUUUUUUCUUCUCAAAAAUCAAUUCCAUCUUUUAUAUAUUUUGGUUUUAAUUUCAAACAAAUUUCGACGAUCGACGAAUUGAUUCAUUCAAAACCAAAGUGUCGUCGGACCAGGCUUCAUUCCCCCCACA